rnacentral:rRNA from 1 species
ACGAACGCUGGCGGCGUGCCUAAUACAUGCAAGUAGAACGCACAGUUUAUACCGUAGCUUGCUACACCAUAGACUGUGAGUUGCUAACGGGUGAGUAACGCGUAGGUAACCUGCCUGGUAGCGGGGGAUAACUAUUGGAAACGAUAGCUAAUACCGCAUAAUAUUGAUUAUUGCAUGAUAAUUGAUUGAAAGAUGCUAUUGCAUCACUACCAGAUGGACCUGCGUUGUAUUAGCUAGUAGGUGAGGUAACGGCUCACCUAGGCGACGAUACAUAGCCGACCUGAGAGGGUGAUCGGCCACACUGGGACUGAGACACGGCCCAGACUCCUACGGGAGGCAGCAGUAGGGAAUCUUCGGCAAUGGACGAAAGUCUGACCGAGCAACGCCGCGUGAGUGAAGAAGGUUUUCGGAUCGUAAAGCUCUGUUGUAAGAGAAGAACGGGUGUGAGAGUGGAAAGUUCACACUGUGACGGUAUCUUACCAGAAAGAGACGGCUAACUACGUG